UACGUAGGGUGCAAGCGUUGUCCGGAAUUAUUGGGCGUAAAGAGCUCGUAGGCGGUUUGUCGCGUCGGCUGUGAAAUCCCGAGGCUCAACCUCGGGUCUGCAGUCGAUACGGGCGGACUGGAGUUCGGCAGGGGAGACUGGAAUUCCUGGUGUAGCGGUGAAAUGCGCAGAUAUCAGGAGGAACACCGGUGGCGAAGGCGGGUCUCUGGGCCGAUACUGACGCUGAGGAGCGAAAGCGUGGGGAGCGAACAGG
rnacentral:rRNA from 1 species